GCUUAAAUGUAAGUAUAAAUGGUCAAUAUUCUAGUAAUUUCACAUGUUUUCAGUAAUUCGAAACUAAGUUACCUGAAUUUUAGUCAACAACAACAACAUGCUCAGUGAGAUGUAAACAAAUGUACUUCCUGCUUAAAGCAGCCGGAAUUUGAUAGAUUUCAACGGUGGGUUUAAAUAAGUUAGCAGUGCAAAAAAGUUCAAUGGUUGGGACUGAAGGCCUUGUUUUGAGGGUGUUUUGCAGACCAGUGGUUGUCGGCCUGGUGAUUUUCAAGAAAAACUGUAGACUGCCCCCUUAAGGUUGGGACUGAAGGCCUUGUUUUGAGGGUGUUUUGCAGACCAGUGGUUGUCGGCCUGGCGAUUUUCAAGAAAAACUGUAGACUGCCCCCUUAAGGUAAAUAUCCCAAAUUUCACACCCAACGCCCCAUAGUCAAAGGUGACAUUUUUUGAUAAAAUAGAGUCAUCAACACCUGAAAACAGCUUUCCCAUUGAAUUCUGAGCAAUUUUAGCAGAGAUAUUAACAUUCCAGUAGGGG